UAUUUCUUAACUUGCCGGAUUUCGCUCGGGACUAAUAAAUUGGGUCCCAGGUAGUUACCAUGAUAGAGCGCAGCCAUUGUUUGGUAUUGGACGUUUUCCUCUAUUUUUGAUCGAGAAGCCGCUCGACGAUCGAGGGGGGAUGGCAAAAGACGGGAAAGAGGGAGAGGCGAUCAGCCGAUCGAAGCAUCGCUCUUGAUCCCUUUUCUUCGUCGAGUUAAAGUGGCUAUGGAGUUUGGUAAUGUGGGCUCAUGCACCUCUUCCUCCCACUCAAGCCCCAAGGGUAAGGGCCAACAGAUCAAGGACUGGUAUGGAGGCGUUUAUCAUCUGUAAAGCAAUCUCAUGGAAGGAUUCUGGCACACAAUCUGCUACAUCAUCCUCCCCUUUGAUCUGGAUGCCAGGGUCCUCCUCUCCCAUGGUUGCCUCAUCAGCCAAGUAGGUGAGGUUUGCUACAAGGACCUGGAUAGAGGAAAACCGCCAUCUGGAGAAGGCAAUAAAGCAUCCAAGGUAUUGUAAUAUAAUAAUGCACAUUAACGAAUGUUGGGCCUGUUUUUCAGGAUUGUGGUGUCGGAGGAAAAGGAGAGAUUUGCGCUCCAAACUCUCGUAUAAUGAAAAGUGUAAUAUAUGUCAUUCUAUGUCCAAACUUCAAUUGCAUCUUAUGCUAACUUUCCCUAUAUCCCUGCCUCAUUUUGUAUUGAGACAUUGCAUGCAAAGAAUAUGUUGUGCUGUUCAAAUGGAAUAAACUUUAUUAAAUAUUUGUUUUGUGCGAGUA